ACAAAAAUAAAAACAGAAACGUAGUGGACACAAAUCAAACAUAAAUACGUUACAAAAAUUGAUUAGCUCAGAUACUAGUUUCGAUGAUUCACAAUUUACAACACUCAGUGAAAAAACAGCAUUGUUGGCACAUUGUAUAAAAACAAAACACACUUUCAAUCUUCACGACACAACAAUACUCGACCAACACCAGAAUAUGGCAGCACUGCCGAUUCUCGAGAUGUGCCACAUAGCGACAAACACCAACACAGUCAACAAGAGAAGUGACAUCGCAGGCCUUAGUACAACAUACGCCGGCAUCUUUCAUAUACCAUUGUCAACAAUAGCAAACAGAACGCAGGACAAACCGCUGCAUGUGAAUGAUGUGAUGGCGGUAUGAGCAGAAUUGUUUAGUGUGUGAUGUUAGUGUACGUUUCUGUUUUUAUUUUUGUUUUUAUUUAUAUGCAUCCGACAACACCAAUCCAAUGGAUUAUUAUUGAGUUCGCUACAUUGAGUUCGAUGAGCCGAUGUCCAGAGGAGAACUCGAUUUCGGAGAAUACGACGGGGUCAAAGAUGAUUUGUCUCUGAGAAGUUCGUCUUCUUUCAGCAAGAGGUUUAUCAGUCGACAACAAUUUUCGUAGGCCGGAAGACGCAAAGG